AUACGUAGGGGGCGAGCGUUGUCCGGAACGAUUGGGCGUAAAGGGCGCGUAGGCGGCCCGGUAAGUCUGGAGUGAAAGUCCUGUUUUUAAGAUGGGAAUUGCUUUGGAUACUGUCGGGCUUGAGUGCAGGAGAGGUAAGUGGAAUUCCCAGUGUAGCGGCGAAAUACGUAGAGAUUGGGAGGAACACCAGUGGCGAAGGCGACUUACUGGACUGUAACUGACGCUGAGGCGCGAAAGUGUGGGGAGCAAACAGGAUUAGAUGCCCUGGUAGUCCACACUGUAAACGAUGAAUGCUAGGUGUAGGGGGUAUCGACCCCUUCUGUGCCGCAGUCAACACAAUAAGCAUUCCGCCUGGGGAGUACGGCCGCAAGGUUGAAACUCAAAUGAAUUGACGGGG
rnacentral:rRNA from 1 species